rnacentral:rRNA from 1 species
GCAAGUCGAGCGAGAAGCUAUCUUCGGAUAGUGGAAAGCGGCAGACGGGUGAGUAACACGUGGGAACCUACCUUUCGGUUCGGAAUAACACAGGGAAACUUGUGCUAAUGCCGGAUACGCCCUUAGGGGGAAAGAUUUAUUGCCGAAAGAUGGGCCCGCGUUAGAUUAGCUAGUUGGUGAGGUAAGAGCUCACCAAGGCGACGAUCUAUAGCUGGUUUGAGAGGAUGAUC